UACAGAGGUCCCAAGCGUUGUUCGGAUUUACUGGGCGUAAAGGGUGCGUAGGUGGUUGGGUAAGUUCGAUGUGAAAUCUCCAGGCUCAACCUGGAAAAGGCAUCGAAUACUAUCCAGCUUGAGGGUUGGAGGGGGGACUGGAAUUCUCGGUGUAGCAGUGAAAUGCGUAGAUAUCGAGAGGAACACCAGUGGCGAAGGCGAGUCCCUGGACAACUCCUGACACUGAGGCACGAAAGCUAGGGGAGCAAACAGG
rnacentral:rRNA from 1 species